rnacentral:ncRNA from 2 species
GAUUUCAUAGAGUACGUUUCUCGUAUAUGUGCAGGAAUCGGCCUGCAUGUCUCUACCCGAUCACCGGAAUGAUCGGACUACGGGAUGACGGCGAAAUUUA